rnacentral:lncRNA from 1 species
ACAACUUGCUACAAGGUUGUUGAGCUCAAUAGACUUAAUACAGGUUAAUUGUGUAAACGUUCUCUGGUUAAAAAUAUUUAUUUGUCACAAGCUUUCGACUGCCAGUCUGCAGUCUUCAACGGGUAGAUUAAUAAUGUGCUAGUGAUAUAAGAUAUGACACAAAGUGAAUAGUGCUGUACAAUAGCGGUUUACAAUUACAUUUACUGACACAAAAGCCGAAUUACUGACAGUUCCGCCUACUAGUGCAGAAUUUAAAGUUUUUUGAGCAAAAAGCGAUAUUGUUCUGGCAAAUGUUUUGAGUUGUUAUCGGCGUCUUUCGUGCAUGCAGUGUGCCAAGACUCGAUGUCGAUCUAUGUCGAUAGCUUCCCUUGUCAAAUACUUUUUCCGUUUUUAAAAUCAAUUCUGUGGUCGUUUGCCCACGCAUGGUUCGCGAUGUUAGAGUAUCGCGAGUUCAGUAAUUUGUAGAAAUUGGUUAACGCAUGUUUUUUAAUGAUAGAAAAUACAUCAUCGACAUAACGAAGCAUUUCUUAGGUUGUAUAGAAGAUGUACUUAGUGCUGAGUCCUCCUCAAUUUCCAGUUCCAUGCAGAGGUUUGCUAACAUGACUACCCAUUGCACAACCAUGAAUUUGUUUGUACGUUAUCUUGUUGUUAUUGAAAUAGCUAUUAGUAAGAGUAAAACGUCAAAAGGGCUUGAUAUCGGCUUGAUGAUCGUAACUUGCGUCAUGUCUACAGCAGACAUGCUGUAACUUGCGCGUUUCUGGUUGUGUACUCUGGCACAAACCGAGUUUAUAUGUUAUUAUUAGAGAGGUUAAGAUACCCCGGUUCCGGUUUACGGGUACGAGUAUCGCCAUUUUGUUUACCAAUUUUUGCUGAUGUCAGCAAUUUUACCCGUAAUUUCUACACGUUUCCCCGCGGUAAACCGU